rnacentral:rRNA from 1 species
UAAUGUAUGGGGAUCUGCCUGAUGGCGGGGGAUAACUACUGGAAACGGUAGCUAAUACCGCAUAAUGUCUACGGACCAAAGCAGGGGACCUCCGGGCCUCGCGCCAUCAGAUGAACCCAUAUGGGAUUAGCUAGUAGGUGAGGUAACGGCUUACCUAGGCGACGAUCCCUAGCUGGUCUGAGAGGAUGAUCAGCCACACUGGGACUGAGACACGGCCCAG